UGGGCUGCUGGACUAGGGAUACUUGUAUU
rnacentral:piRNA from 1 species